rnacentral:tRNA from 1 species
ACUAUUUUGGCAGAUAAUUGUAAUGGUUUUAGAAGUCAUAUAUAUAUAUAUAUAUAUUUAUAUAUAAGUAGUA